GACGAACGCUGGCGGCGUGCCUAAUACAUGCAAGUUGAGCGCUGAAGGAUGGUGCUUGUGCCAACUGGGUGAGCAGCGGACGGGUGAGUAACGCGUGGGGAAUCUGCUUUUUAGCGGGGGACAACAUCUGGAAACGAAUGCUAAUACCGCAUAAAAACUUUAAACACAAGUAUUAAGUUUGAAUGAUGCAAUUGCAUCACUCAAAGAUGAUCCCGCGUUGUAUUAGCUAGGUGGUGAGGUAAAGGCUCAACAAGGCGAAGAUACAUAGCCGACCCGAAAGGGAGGAUGGGCAAAAUUGGAACUGGACACGGCCCAAACCCCCAAGGGGAGCAGCAGGAGGGGAUCUUUGGCAAUAGACGGAAGGCUGAACGAGGCACGCCGCGUGGGUGGAGGAGGUUUUCGGGUCGGAAAAGCCCGUUUGUAGAGAAGAACGUUGGUGAGAGUGGAAAGCUCAUGAAGUGACGGUACCUACCCAGAAAGCGACGGCUAACUACGUG
rnacentral:rRNA from 1 species